UACGGGGGGGGCAAGCGUUGUUCGGAAUUACUGGGCGUAAAGGGCGCGUAGGCGGCAAGGCAAGUCAGGUGUGAAAGCCCCGAGCUUAACUCGGGAAUUGCAUCUGAAACUGCUGUGCUUGAGUUCUGGAGGGGGUAGUGGAAUUCCCAGUGUAGCGGUGAAAUGCGUAGAUAUUGGGAGGAACACCUGCGGCGAAGGCGGCUACCUGGACAGAAACUGACGCUGAGGCGCGAAAGCUAGGGGAGCGAACGGG
rnacentral:rRNA from 1 species